rnacentral:rRNA from 1 species
UACAGAGGUCCCGAGCGUUGUUCGGAUUCAUUGGGCGUAAAGGGUGCGUAGGCGGCGGGGAAGUCUGAUGUGAAAUCCUGGGGCUCAACCCUGGAACUGCAUUGGAUACUUCCUUGCUAGAGUACUGGAGAGGAAACUGGAAUUUACGGUGUAGCAGUGAAAUGCGUAGAGAUCGUAAGGAAGACCAGUGGCGAAGGCGAGUUUCUGGACAGUUACUGACGCUGAGGCACGAAGGCCAGGGGAGCAAACGGG